rnacentral:pre_miRNA from 1 species
CGCUCAGUAGCCAGUGUAGAUCCUGUGUUUAGUAAUCAGCAGCUACAUCUGGCUACUGGGUCUC